UACGGAGGAUGCAAGCGUUAUCCGGAAUGAUUGGGCGUAAAGCGUCCGCAGGUGGCGAUGUAAGUCUGCUGUUAAAGAGUCUAGCUCAACUAGAUAAGAGCAGUGGAAACUACAUAGCUAGAGUACGUUCGGGGCAGAGGGAAUUCCUGGUGUAGCGGUGAAAUGCGUAGAGAUCAGGAAGAACACCAGUGGCGAAGGCGCUCUGCUAGGCCGCAACUGACACUGAGGGACGAAAGCUAGGGGAGCGAAUGGG
rnacentral:rRNA from 1 species